AACAUCUCAGCGAACAGACAGUUAACUGAUUUUUCAUGUGAAAUUCAUAUUGUGUGGUAAGCAUUGCAUGCCAUUAUUCUCGAUGUUUAUUAUAACUUCACAAAAUAAUAACCUUUCAGAUGAGCAUUUGGUUGCCAGACGAAAAGUGGAUAACAGCCAGUAUACAUCAAACUUGGAUACAACAGAUGAUGACAGCACUAAAGGUUGAAAAGAUCGGAAGAGGAAGAGAAACAAGUUAGGGCUAGAGAGCCCAGACAAGGAGGAAGAAGACGACUUUAGAUGGAAAUCAGUGCAUCCAGCAGUGCCAGCAGGACCAUUGCCAGACUCAUUGCAACUACAAGUGGAAAACAAGCAUUUAUGCCCACAGGUAAAUGCACUAACCACAAGAAUAUUGCCCCCACGACGUGAGCACCCCAGUGACCAACGUAGUGACUCUCAGCAAGGAGUACAAGAGGGGACAAACCUCACAACUGCAGCAGUAAAAGGCGGUACCCAGAGAGUGUCUAAUGAAGCAUUUGCCUGGCUCAUUCUGAAACAAGACAGAGAAUUGAAAUUGAUGCUACAGGAA